rnacentral:rRNA from 1 species
UCUCUCCUACGGGACGCAGCAGUGGGGAAUAUUGGGCAAUGGAGGAAACUCUUACCCAGCAAUGCCGCGUGAAUGAAGAAGGUCUUCGGAUUGUAAAGUUCUUUAAUUGGGGACGAAAAAAAUGACGGUACCCAAGGAAUAAGCCCCGGCUAACUACGUGCCAGCAGCCGCGGUAAUACGUAGGGGGCAAGCGUUGUUCGGAAUGACUGGGCGUAAAGGGUGUGUAGGCGGUGUAGCAAGUUAGAAGUGAUAUACCUAGAGCUUAACUCAGGUGCUGCUUCUAAAACUGUUAUACUUGAGUGCAG